rnacentral:rRNA from 1 species
UGGGGAAUAUUGGACAAUGGGCGCAAGCCUGAUCCAGCCAUGCCGCGUGUGUGAAGAAGGCCUUUUGGUUGUAAAGCACUUUAAGCGAGGAGGAGGCUACUGAGAUUAAUACUCUUGGAUAGUGGACGUUACUCGCAGAAUAAGCACCGGCUAACUCUGUGCCAGCAGCCGCGGUAAUACAGAGGGUGCGAGCGUUAAUCGGAUUUACUGGGCGUAAAGCGUGCGUAGGCGGCUUCUUAAGUCGGAUGUGAAAUCCCUGAGCUUAACUUAGGAAUUGCAUUCGAGACUGGGAAGCUAGAGUAUGGGAGAGGAUGGUAGAAUUCCAGGUGUAGCUGUGAAAUGCGUAGGGAUCUGGAGGAAUACCGAUGGCGAAGGCGGCCAUCUGGCCUAAUACUGACGCUGAGGUACGAAAGCAUGGGGAGCAAACAGG